AUUAACCUCGUAGAAAAUUGAUCAAGAAGGAGAGGCGAGUCGCGAAAAGGCGAAUGCCGUGGAAAGUGUUGGCGUAUCUAUAGAAAAAAGUCUUCCCUCUACUACGUCACCCGUAUGGGAGUAUUUGAAUUGCGAAAUAAUGAACGUUUAAACGACUAUUGUUUAAUUCCUGUAUAGGAAUAAUAGUUAAUGUAAAAUUUAAUAAAAGGAAAACGCACUGCAUAGUGCAAUUCCGACUGGGUAGAUUUUGAAAAGUAUCUCAGCGAGAUAAAAAUCGAAAAGAUAUAUAUAUCCUUACGCGAUGGUCUCUAAGAUAAAAUAUAAACGAGGUAUCGUUCCUGAAGCGACAGAAACAAAAAAUCGAAAGGUUGGUCUCCGUUUGACAGGAGCUGUCACAAGCGAGCGUUGAGUAGAACAAAGGACGCUCAACAGAUUAUGGGAGAGGCUAGCGAAAUACUUGGACUAAACGACACAAUGGUUAUAAAAUUAUAGCGAUAAGGAAAGCGAACAUCGAAAUCGUUAGUGACGUAGUUUUAAGGUAGUCUACAAGAUAGACCAAAAGUGGAGGAGCAGUGUUAACGAGAGCACCGCAAGAGAGAGAGAGAGAGAGAGAGAGAGAGAGAGAAAGAAAGAAAGACAGAAAAAGAGAGAGAGAGAGAGAGACUUUUCUUCGUUCGUCACCAUCUCGCUCUUUCUCUCUCUUUCUAUCUCUUUCUUUCUUUCUUCGCGUAAUACGUUGCGAGACACAAACCGUGUACGAGAGGGCGACAAUCGGACGAAACAGCUGUUGGUGGCGUUGAGAAGAAACGACGAAACGUCAUUAGCGUGCGAGUGAGAGGUACUACGCCAUCAUAGUUACGGAUUUACGUGAAAAUCCGUGAAAAUGUUUAGUGGUGGGGCAUGACACGUAAAUUUCGCGAAACCUCGUUUGCAAAAAUUCUCGCAUACGUAAGGACGCGACGAUCUCAACGUUUCGCGAUGCAGACUUGAAGAGGAAAAAGACAAGUUGAAAGCAAAGAGAGACAGAACGAAUGGAAGGAAAGGGGGCGCUGAGGGACGUGGAGGAAGAAGGCGGAGGAGGAGGAGAAGGAAGAGAGAGAGAGAGGAGAGAGCGAGAGAGGGAGAGAAAAAGAGGGGGAAAGAGAGAGAGAGAGAGAGAGAGAGGGAAAGAGUGAGAAAGAGAGGGAGGGUGGGAAUAGUAGGAGGGAGAAGUGGACGUAGAAAUAGAGAAAGAAAGGACAUUCGCUGCCACAGCUUGCCAUCCCUUUCUAACUUACGAUAGUCACACAGUCUCUCUUUCGAUCUAUCGAGAGACAGACUUUUAUGUCGAUUUUACAACUCCCCUUGGCACGUUUUAACUUUCGAAAAAUGUACAAGGAUAGGACUGACAUUGAAUAAGAAUACCGUCCACGAACAAGAAUGAUUCACGAAUAGAGUCCGAUUGAACGGGGGGAAAGUCUUCUGAAAUAUGAAAAGACUUGAGAUAGAUUGAUACUUCGUUUCUCGUUUUCUUUCCAUCUCUUUCUAUUUCCUUCAAACAUCAAGCACAGAAAAAGAAUUUGUUGCAUACGUCACAUAAGAUCGAAUUGUUCGAUUAACGUAGUAGCCAUUCGAUAUCCUAGGAAUGUUUUUAAGAUAUCGAAAGAACAGUCGCUUUAACCUUAAUUUUGUUCUACGAGGAAUAAUCACUUCUUUUUCAACGGAGCUCGUGCGUCGACAAUUAUCGCGUCUUCCCACAUAGCGCUCGCCGAUUCUCGAUUAGUCGCCUUCCCGAAAUUUGGUCGAACGCGCAACUCGAGCGCGCAGGAACGGACAUUACACGCUAUGACUACCAGAGGGACCUCGAGCGAAGUGAGGAACGAAGGGAGGGGAAGGAAUUGUCAGAGCGCAUGUCGAGGAGACGCGGAUUUACUCUUUAUAAAUACGUAAAACGCGUCUUUUUUAGUAUUGGUCAGUAUCGACGCGCCCUUCGUUUUAUUAUUGAUGUUUGCCCACGUAACGACGAUCUUACUUAAUACAUCAUACUCAACUUCAUACAUUUUUUUUGAAUAUGUCAAUUUCAUAACAUUAUACGUAUUUGAGUUACGCGUUGAUUUUUAUAUUUACCGCUUUGCCCCAAAAAUUGUUUUAGUUACUCGCGUUUACAGUUCUACCAAUCACGCCAAACAAAUAUCCCUGUAAAACCGAUCGAAGAUCAUAUUUCUUAUAUGUAAAAGAAAAUUUGUUUGAAUCAAUUCAUGUGUUGUAAUAAAUUUGAAAAAAUCGUUUAAGAGAAUCGUCAUUUCAAUAUCUUUACUAAUUAUACUUAGAUCAUAAUUACAUGGUAAUACGUCGCUUUCAACAAUUUAUGCAUAUAAACUGUAUAUUGUAUAUUUAAAAAAGAGGCAUAUAUGUAUAUUAUAAUAGUCAUUUUAUCAU